rnacentral:rRNA from 1 species
AACGAACGUUGGCGGCGUGGAUUAGGCAUGCAAGUCGAGCGAAUCCCAGCAAUGGGGGAAGCGGCGAAAGGGGCAGUAAGGCAUGGGUAACCUACCCUGGGGACUGGGAUAGCCCUUCGAGAGAAGGGGUAAUACCGGGCGACGUGCCGAGGAGGCAUCUCCUUGUCACCAAAUGAGUUUCGCCCUGGGAGGGGCCCAUGUGAUAUUAGCUAGUUGGUGGGGAAACGGCCCACCAAGGCGAAGAUGUCUAGCGGGUGUGAGAGCACGACCCGCGCCACUGGCACUGAGACACUGGCCAGACACCUACGGGUGGCUGCAGUCGAGGAUCUUCGGCAAUGGGCGCAAGCCUGACCGAGCGACGCCGCGUGUGCGAUGAAGGCCUUCGGGUUGUAAGGCACUGUCGAGAGGGAGAAAAGCGCAAGCUUGAUCUAUCUCUUGAGGAAGCACGGGCUAAGUUCGUGCCAGCCGCCGCAGUAAGAC